GGUGGGUUACCUCCCAGGAGCAGAUGACUGGCAUGGUUAGUGAUCACUAGGCCAUGAAUCUCAUGGAUCGCAUGAUACAGUAUUUUUACGGUGCAGGUAUCUGGUCCAGAUCCGACGGAGACAAGCAAAAUCGUGUCGCUGCUUCUUCUUUUGAUUGAAAAUCCAGGUGAAAUCUUUCAGGAACUCAGGACGACACGCAUUGAUUAUAUU